rnacentral:tRNA from 1 species
GGGUGGGUUCGCUCAGUGGUUAGAGCUUAUGUCUUGUGAGCGGAAGGUCCUGGGUUCGAACCUCGCCAUAGGCA